AUUGAACGCUGGCGGCAGGCCUAACACAUGCAAGUCGAGCGAGCGGCGGACGGGUGAGUAAUGUCUGGGGAACUGCCCGAUAGAGGGGGAUAACUACUGGAAACGGUGGCUAAUACCGCAUACUAUCGGAUGAACCCAUAUGGGAUUAGCUGGUAGGGGGGGUAACGGCUCCCCUAGGCGACGAUCUCUAGCUUGUCUGAGAGGAUGAUCAGCCCCACUGGGACUGAGACACGGGCCAGACUCCUACGGGAGGCAGCAGUGGGGAAUAUGGCACAAUGGGCGCAAGCCUGAUGCAGCCAUGCCGCGUGUAUGAAGAAGGCCUUCGGGUUGUAAAGUACUUUCAGCGGGGAGGCGUUACCCGCAGAAGAAGCACCGGCUAACUCCGUGCCAGCAGCCGCGGUAAUAC
rnacentral:rRNA from 1 species